rnacentral:rRNA from 1 species
UACGUAGGGUGCGAGCGUUGCCCGGAUUUAUUGGGCGUAAAGGGCGCGUAGGCGGCCACGCACGUCCGUUGUGAAAUCGCCCGGCUCAACUGGGCGGGGUCGGCGGAUACGGCGUGGCUGGAGCAAGCUAGGGGGCAAUGGAAUUCCCGGUGUAGUGGUGGAAUGCGUAGAUAUCGGGAGGAACACCAGUGGCGAAGGCGGUUGCCUGGAGCUUUGCUGACGCUGAGGCGCGAAAGCUAGGGGAGCAAACAGG